CCCGCACACCGCCGUCAUCGGGGCCUUUGAGUCGCAGCACGGAGACGGCGGGGAUGGAGGCCCGGAGGUCCCGGUGCUGCUGCUGGAGGGAGCGCUGAGCGCCCGCAGCCAUCGGCACCGACACCGACACCGACACCUCCACCACGGCCCGGCCCGCAUCGGCUGCGGGGUCUGCGGUGACGGCUGCGAUGGGCACUGGGUUGGGGUCCACGAUGGGGUCCGGGAUGGGGUCCACGAUGGGGUCGGGAUGGGUCCGGGAUGUGUCCAGUUUGGGGUCGCAGGAUGCGGGUCCGUGGGGUCGGGAUGUCUUCCAGGUUGGGGUCCAGGAUGGGGUCCCAGAUGGGGUCCACGAUGGGGUCCGGGAUGUCUUCCAGGUUGGGGUCCAGGAUGGGGUCUGGGAUGGGUUCCCGGUUGGGGUCCAGGAUGGGGUCCGGGAUGGCCCAUGAAUUGGGAUCCAGAUUGGGUCGUGAGUUGGGGUUCAGGUUGGGGUCCAGGUUGGGUCGUGAGUUGGGGUCCAGGUUGGGUUCUGGGAUAGGCCAUGAUUUGGGAUCUCCAUUGGGUUCCAUGUUGGGCCAUGAAUUGGGAUCGGUGUUGGGAUCCACAUCGGGUUCCGGGUUGGGCCGUGAUUUGGGAUCCACAUCGGGUUCCACAUCGGGUUCCAGGAUGGGCCACCAAUUGGGAUCUCCAUGGGGUUCCAGGUUGGGUUCUUCAUUGAGCCACGCAUUGGGAUCCACGUUGGGAUCCACACUCCAUUCUCCAUAGGGCCACACAUCGGGAUCUGUGUUGGGAUCAAUGUUGGGUUCCACAUCAGCGUUGGGCAGCGCUUUGAGAUUCAUCUAUUGGGAUCCGUAUUGGGAUCCAUGCUAAGAAAUGCCCCAGGAUCCAUAUUGGGAUCCGUAUUGGGAUCUGUAUGGGAUCCAUGCCGGGAAAUGCCCCCGGGAUCUGUAUUGGGAUCUGUAUGGGAUCCAUGCUGGGAAAUGCCCCGGGAUCUGUAUUGGGAUCAGUAUGGGAUCCAUGCUAAGAAAUGCCCCGGGAUCCAUAUUGGGAUCCGUAUUGGGAUCUAUAUGGGAUCCAUGCUGGGAAAUGCCCCGGAGUCCCUAUUGCGACCCACAU
ensembl:lncRNA